GGCUGUUAUAGUCUUGUCAGCAUCAUCAGUCAUUAUGGAGGCACAGAGUCAGGACACUACAUCUGUAGUUCUGUCCAUCCUGAGGAGAGUCAGCACUCUACAUCAGAUCGCUGGCUCACCUAUAAUGACGCACAGGUGCUCCACACAACCGGAUCGGCAGCUUGUGAGGAACAGCAGCACUCGGCCUACAUGCUGUUUUACAAGAGAAACUUCUGAAACAGGAAAUGGAAGGAAGGUCAUCAUCAUGCUGAG